rnacentral:rRNA from 1 species
GACGAACGCUGGCGGCGUGCUUAACACAUGCAAGUCGAACGGUCAAGCACCUUCCGUUUGCGCGGGGGUGGAUGAAGGGUGAAACGGUGAAUAAAACGUGAGUAAACUGCCCUCAUCGUCGGGAUUACCGGAUGGAAGUGUGUCUAAAAAGGGCAAAUCACGUUCGGUCGCAUGAUCGGUUGGGGAAAGAUGUUGCUAGGGUGGGGGACGGGCUGUCGCCGUAUCGGCUUGUUGGGGGGGUGAGGGCCUAGCAUGGCGGUGAAGGGUCGCCGGGCUGGGAGGGUGGACGGUCACACGAGGACUGAGACACGGACCAGACUCCUACGGGAGGCAGCAGUGGGGAAUAUUGCACAAUGGGCGCAAGGCUGAUGCAGCGACGCCGCGUGAGGGAUGGAGGCCUUCGGGUUGUGAACCUCUUUCGCCAGUGAAGCAGGCAUGCCUUGUUUGUGAGUGGGUUGACGGUAGCUGGAUAAGAAGCGCCGGCUAACUACGUG